rnacentral:rRNA from 1 species
UACGGAGGGGGCUAGCGUUGUUCGGAAUUACUGGGCGUAAAGCGCGCGUAGGCGGCUUUGUAAGUUAGGGGUGAAAGCCCGGAGCUCAACUCCGGAAUUGCCUUUAAGACUGCAUCGCUAGAAUCAUGGAGAGGUUAGUGGAAUUCCGAGUGUAGAGGUGAAAUUCGUAGAUAUUCGGAAGAACACCAGUGGCGAAGGCGACUAACUGGACAUGUAUUGACGCUGAGGUGCGAAAGCGUGGGGAGCAAACAGG